rnacentral:piRNA from 6 species
CUCAGUCGGUAGAGCAUCAGACUUU